GGAACCCAGAUGCAAUUGUCUUCACCUCUUCACAGAUGUAUGGAACGCCUAGUUAUUGGAUGCAGCACUUCUUCAAAGAGUCAAAUGGCGCUACUCUUCUGAGUUCGUCAUUACAAGCUAAUCCUUCAAAUUCACUUAUAGCAUCUGCCAUCACUUGGCGAAAUUCACUUGAUAACAAUGAUUAUUUGAGAAUAAAGGUCGUGAACUUUGGAACCACUGCGGUUAUAACUAAAAUCUCUCUCACUGGAUUGGGGCAGAACUCGUUAGAGACGUUAUUUGGGGCUGUAAUGACCGAGUUAACAUCCAACAAUGUGAUGGAUGAAAAUUCCUUCAGAGAGCCUAAUAAGGUAAUACCUGUUAAAACACAAGUUGAGAAAGUUAGUGACAACAUGGAUGUUGUACUAGCUCCAAGAUCUCUGAAUUCAAUUGACUUUUUAUUAAGAAAAUCAAUAAACAACAAUGUUGAUACUGCUUCUGUCCUUAAAUCUUCAUGCUAAGUAGCUCAAUGUAUCAAUUUAAUUUAAGAAUAUAAUGUGGUUACUAAUUUAUAAAUAAUAUCAUUUUCAUGGUAAUUAGUUC
rnacentral:misc_RNA from 1 species